UACGGGGGGGGCAAGCGUUGUUCGGAAUUACUGGGCGUAAAGGGCUCGUAGGUGGCCAACUAAGUCAGACGUGAAAUCCCUCGGCUUAACCGAGGAACUGCGUCUGAUACUGGAUGGCUUGAGUUUGGGAGAGGGAUGCGGAAUUCCAGGUGUAGCGGUGAAAUGCGUAGAUAUCUGGAGGAACACCGGUGGCGAAGGCGGCAUCCUGGACCAACACUGACGCUGAACAGCGAAAGCCAGGGGAGCAAACGGG
rnacentral:rRNA from 1 species